CUCACUUGUGGGGGGAUUAGUGGCGAACGGGUGAGUAACACGUGAGUAACCUGCCCUUAACUCUGGGAUAAGCCUGGGAAACUGGGUCUAAUACCGGAUAUGACUCCUCAUCGCAUGGUGGGGGGUGGAAAGCUUUAUUGUGGUUUUGGAUGGACUCGCGGCCUAUCAGCUUGUUGGUGAGGUAAUGGCUCACCAAGGCGACGACGGGUAGCCGGCCUGAGAGGGUGACCGGCCACACUGGGACUGAGACACGGCCCAGACUCCUACGGGAGGCAGCAGUGGGGAAUAUUGCACAAUGGGCGAAAGCCUGAUGCAGCGACGCCGCGUGAGGGAUGACGGCCUUCGGGUUGUAAACCUCUUUCAGUAGGGAAGAAGCGAAAGUGACGGUACCUGCAGAAGAAGCGCCGGCUAACUACGUGCCAGCAGCCGCGGUAAUACGUAGGGCGCAAGCGUUAUCCGGAAUUAUUGGGCGUAAAGAGCUCGUAGGCGGUUUGUCGCGUCUGCCGUGAAAGUCCGGGGCUCAACUCCGGAUCUGCGGUGGGUACGGGCAGACUAGAGUGAUGUAGGGGAGACUGGAAUUCCUGGUGUAGCGGUGAAAUGCGCAGAUAUCAGGAGGAACACCGAUGGCGAAGGCAGGUCUCUGGGCAUUAACUGACGCUGAGGAGCGAAAGCAUGGGGAGCGAACAGGAUUAGAUACCCUGGUAGUCCAUGCCGUAAACGUUGGGCACUAGGUGUGGGGGACAUUCCACGUUUUCCGCGCCGUAGCUAACGCAUUAAGUGCCCCGCCUGGGGAGUWCGGCCGCARGGCUAAAACUCMAAGGAAUUGRCGGGGGCCCGCMCMRGCGGCGGRGCWUGCGGWUUAWUUCGAUGCAACGCGAAGAACCUUACCAAGGCUUGACAUGAACCGGUAAUACCUGGAAACAGGUGCCCCGCUUGCGGUCGGUUUACAGGUGGUGCAUGGUUGUCGUCAGCUCGUGUCGUGAGAUGUUGGGUUAAGUCCCGCAACGAGCGCAACCCUCGUUCUAUGUUGCCAGCGCGUUAUGGCGGGGACUCAUAGGAGACUGCCGGGGUCAACUCGGAGGAAGGUGGGGACGACGUCAAAUCAUCAUGCCCCUUAUGUCUUGGGCUUCACGCAUGCUACAAUGGCCGGUACAAAGGGUUGCGAUACUGUGAGGUGGAGCUAAUCCCAAAAAGCCGGUCUCAGUUCGGAUUGGGGUCUGCAACUCGACCCCAUGAAGUCGGAGUCGCUAGUAAUCGCAGAUCAGCAACGCUGCGGUGAAUACGUUCCCGGGCCUUGUACACACCGCCCGUCAAGUCACGAAAGUUGGUAACACCCGAAGCCGGUGGCCUAAC
rnacentral:rRNA from 1 species